UGCGCUGACAGCCUAAUGGAUAUCUUGUAUAAGUACCUGUGGUACAACUCCAGAGAGAUGCAUCACCAGGUUCUCAGGGCUCUCCUCCUGCUAAGGGACCAUCCCUCCAUGGCCGAAAGAAUUCAGAGCCUGACAGGAAGACUAGUGCACCUCCUGUGGGACUUUGAUAGUGACGUGGCCAGGAUGAGCAUUGCUCUCCUCAGCUAUAUUUUCUUGGAUGAAGACACCCCAAUAUCCUGGCGCAGGGCCCUGCAGCUGGCUGAGCCGCUCAUGAAACUCCUGGACAAUGAUACUUUUUCUCAGGCAGGACUGAGAGGCCAUGGAGCAGCAGUCUCUGCAGCUCCCUGCAGCUUGUUCCAAAGCUAG
rnacentral:lncRNA from 1 species